rnacentral:rRNA from 1 species
AGUGAACGCUGGCGGUAGGCCUAACACAUGCAAGUCGAACGGCAGCACAGUAAGAGCUUGCUCUUACGGGUGGCGAGUGGCGGGCGGGUGAGGAGUACAUCGGAAUCUACUUUUUCGUGGGGGAUAACGUAGAGAAACUUACGCUAAUACCGCAUACGACCUACGGGUGAAAGCAGGGGAUAUUCGGACUUUGCGCGAUUGAAUGAGCCGAUGUCGGAUUAGCUAGUUGGCGGGGUAAAGGCCCACCAAGGCAACGAUGCGUAGCUGGUCUGAGAGGAUGAUCAGCCACACUGGAACUGAGACACGGUCCAGACUCCUACGGGAGGCAGCAGUGGGGAAUCUUGGACAAUGGGCGCAAGCCUGACCCAGCCAUACCGCGUGAGUGAUGAAGGCCUUCGGGUUGUAAAGCCCUGUUGUUGGGAAAGAAAAGCAGCAGGUUAAUACCCCGCUGUUCUGACGGUACCCAAAGAGUAAGCACCGGCUAACUUCGUG